rnacentral:rRNA from 1 species
GACGUAGGGCGCGAGCGUUGUCCGGAUUUAUUGGGCGUAAAGAGCUCGUAGGCGGCUCGUUGCGUCGGCUGUGAAAACCCGCAGCUCAACUGUGGGCUUGCAGCUGAUACGGGCGGGCUGGGAUUCGGUAGGGGAGACUGGAAUUCCUGGUGUAGCGGUGAAAUGCGUAGAUAUCAGGAGGAACACCUGUGGUGUAGACGGCUCUCUGGACCGCAACUGACGCUGAGACACGAAAGCGUGGGUAGCAAACAGG